CCUGGUGCUUAUGGCGCGGUAGACCCACUCCGACCCAUCCCGAACUCGGUUGUGAAAUGCUGUUGCGGCGAAGAUAGUUGAGGGGUAGCCCUCUGCAAAAAUAGCUCGGUGCCAGGU
rnacentral:rRNA from 1 species